rnacentral:rRNA from 1 species
UACAGAGGGUGCGAGCGUUAAUCGGAUUUACUGGGCGUAAAGCGUGCGUAGGCGGCUUCGUAAGUUGGAUGUGAAAUCCCCGAGCUUAACUUGGGAAUUGCAUUCAAAACUGCGAGGCUAGAGUAUGGGAGAGGAUGGUAGAAUUCCAGGUGUAGCGGUGAAAUGCGUAGAGAUCUGGAGGAAUACCGAUGGCGAAGGCAGCCAUCUGGCCUAAUACUGACGCUGAGGUACGAAAGCAUGGGGAGCAAAC